rnacentral:lncRNA from 1 species
AUACAGAUUAUAAAAUAGAUGUAUAGGUACCUAAUGCAGAAGGGAGCUCGAAGGAAAUUUAAAAUUGUACGUGUCCAGCACACAAAAAAUAAAAAUUAUUAUUGUUAUUAAUUUUACGUGUACGUAAAAAUAACCAGCUGCAAGAAUAUGAAAUUUGACAAAAAAAUACAUAUAUGUACACACACACAUCAAAAUCAUCUAGAAGACAAAGUAAAUAAAAUAAAUAAAAUGUGUAAUAACUAAAUAAACAUUUUGGAAUUUUAUUUGGAAAAUAUUUAAAUUAAACACAUUCGAAUUAUUUGUAAGUAGAAAUCCAUUCUUGAAGGGCAGUGAUUAUGAUAUGGCGGAUUAGAAAGGACAGGAAGACUUUUCUCCACAAAUAAAUUGGCCAAUAUUUUAAUCAAGAGUAAUGCAUUUCAAUGAGUUCACUCCACAUCAUCAGACUCUUGCCACAAAAUGUAUUUUUCAAACUCCUUCCUUGUAUCCUUUCACGUUUCCAAUCUAUUUUCAAGUAUCCCUCCCCAUGAAUUUAUUCCAUGCAUAUACGAGAUUUAUUGUUCUUAAAUUCUAAUCUACCCAUACCCAUAUUAUUUUUGAAAUUACUGUUACAGAUAUUGUUUUAAAACAAAACUUUUUCCAAAUCAAUAAAAAGUGCUAUUCUCAGAAGUCAGGUUUGACUAUAGACUCUAGUGUAUUGAAAAGAAAAUAUCAUCAGAAAACAACUUGUAUAAAAUUUUUACUACGUACGUGGAUGAUGUUUUCACUAUUUUCACUGGUUUUGGAAAUGAUCUACAAGAUUUUUUAAAACACCUAAUUGCAUUAAAUUUACUUGUGAAAAAGAAAGUGAAGGUCGUCUAUAUCCUUUUUAGAUCUAUUAAUCAAAAAAUCUAAUUGAAAUUCAUUGGAGUUAGAAAUUUAUAUAGAACUGACCGUGCUAUCCGUUUUUCUUUCUAUCUUUCAACCGUGAAUUGUCAGCAUUUAAUUCAUUUUUUCACAGACCUUUUAAUAUUCCUCUUUCUUGAAAUAAAAAACCGAAAAAAUUCCAAAAACAACGGAUAUCCUGAUAAUGUUAUUAUUAAAAUUUAUUUUAAACACUCCAAUAAAUCGUUAAAUAAAAAACUCGUAUGUAAAGAUAAUGAAGCCUCCGUAUACAGAAGUAUUACAUAUUUCGAUAAAUUAUCCAACCAAGUUACCAAAAAUUUUUUGAGACAUUCAGGUAAUAAAAUAUGUAUGUGCUAUUGUACUUUAACUUAUCUAAACACCUGGUUAACACCAAAGAUAUAUUCCUGCAAUGUGUGCUACAUCGGGCACGAACAUACGAACAUAGGAACCAAACUAAUUGAAAUAACAAUUAGUUUGGAUGAAGAAAGAUUUUAUGUUGUAUAAAUGAUUUUUAACCUCAUCUAUAUCCACAAUUGAAAAAUGAUAAAGUUCAUCAAAAUACACACCCCACAAAAAUUAUCGCAUCACUAGUCUUUUAAGAUAUUUUCAAUAUUUUUUGAGACAAUCUGUAUAUGUAUCAACUUAAAAGAUAUUUUUGGUUUCUCAUGGACAAAAAAAUGAUCGGAAUUUCUUACGUAUUUUUUUGAAGCAAAAAUGCUCGCGUAGAUUAUUCCUGUGUUGGCGAAUGCAUUGAGAUCGAAAACGUUCUAAGCAAAUAGUGUUAUUCUAAAGUGAAAAUUUAAAUUUAUUGUUAAUAAUGGAUGUGCCUGAAAGUUUAACAAGACAUGUGACUAAUGAAGAGGCCGCUCAUAGAAGAUGGCCGCAGUCAAAGAUACGUCGCUCGGAUAAUGGGAGUUCAACAAAGCACCAUAUCCAGAGUUGUAAAUCGCUACCAAGAAACAGGACAACUAUCCAGACGACCCGGACAAGGUCGCAAAAGGGUAACUUCGACAGAAGAUGAUCGUUACUUAAGGUUAACAGUUCGAAAUAGGCUGAGAGAAGCAGGUUUACGAGCCAGAGUACCAGCUAGAGGUCCACGUUUUACCAGAAAACAUCGAGUAGCAAGAUUGCAAUUUGCUAGAGAACACGCAAAUUGGAAUAUUCAAGAUUCACGGAUAAAUCAAUUUUGUCUAUAUUCAUCAGAUAGGCGUGUACCAGUAUAUAGGCGACGUGGUGAACGGCACGAUCAGGUUCAUUUUUGUCAAACUGAAAGCUUUGGUGGUGGCUCUAUCAUGGUUUGGGGAGGAAUUUCUUUUGAGGGUCGCACGGAGCUAGUACCAGUGAAUGAUGGAAGACUAAAUGCUGACAGGUUGUAGCGUUUUAUUUUUCUACUCCUUAUGUUCACUAACGCUCCAUUGAUAUUUCAUUAAUUUCAAUAAUUACAUUAAUAAUAUCAGUUAACUUCUUUUAUUCAUAUUUCUUUAAAUUCACACUGUCAAUGACACAUUACUACUGUAACGCAUCACUCUUCUGGUUUAUUUAUGGUAUAAUUAUCCAUGCUUUCUGUUGACGGUCUGUCACUUUUUUGAUUGGUUUUAAUUAAUGUUUUCUAUGAUUGGCUGAUAUUGACAGCUCAGGCGAGAGGUGGGGUCGUUACUGAUUUAGUCGGUACUGGUCCAUUUUUCGAGGACUUAUUCCCGUGUCGCAGGUAGGAGCACACGUAAAAAGCCAGUUUUUUAAGUUUGUGAAGCAGGAAGUGGCCAAUAUGGUUUGUAAUUUAUAGUCCUUAAUUUCGUUCCUUUAGGGAACCGUUUAUUUUAUAAUUCCGGUGCAGGAUGCCCAAGAUUUUGAUGGAUAGAAAAUGAAACUUAGCGGGUUUUACUUUUUCGUUUUCUUCUUUAUUUUUCUUCAAAUGUUGAUGCUGCACUUUUCCAACUUUUCAAUGCAUUUUAUAUGGACUUUUUUAAUCUGAUUCCUUAAAAUUGCAUGUUAUGUGCUUUAAAUUUAAUUGGGGCCGUAGUUUAAAUUCUAAAUAAGUUUGUAAAUGAUCCUAAUAGUAUUUAAAAAACAUUUUGUGCAUUUUAAGUGAGGGUGUGCAGCGUAAUGCGAAACGUAAGCCGAAAUAUGAGAAAAGUACAGACCAAAUUACUAUACAUAUUAUUAUGCUUAGAGUUUAACAUCUAAAUUUUUAUUUAACGUGUUAAAUUGAUAUAUUAUGUUUAAAAUAUAUUUUAACAUUAAAUUUUCGUCUAAUAACUUAACUGCGCCUAUGACCUAACUUUUGUUUCUUUAACUCCCGAACACGCAAACAAGUGCUGCAACGUUUACAAUUCGAAGCAUUUUUUCAAGAAUAUGACUCAUCUAAUUACGAAGAAGAAAUAAUUUCUAUUCAAAACUUACAAGACAUAUUUCUUGAAAAAAAUUUGGAAGAAAAAAUUGCUAUUAAUGAAAAAUUUAAAGAGACCACAAAAAAAAUUCUUAGUAGGUUUUAAAACAUUUAUUCUUAAAAGAUGCGAUGAAUCCAAUCUUUUUAAUUACUGGAAUAAUGUUUUAGUUUUAAUAGGAUUGGUACGCAAUUUAAUUCGAGCAGAUCGUAUGGCAGACUGGAAUUUACAUUUACUUACAGUCCAAGAAAAAAAGUUUUGGGGCUCUACUGAAAAUAAAAUUCGACUUCAAUCCUUUCUGUGUUUAUUUAUUUUAAAAAAUGGUUACCAAUUCUGGCCUGGCGUUCAACUGGUUUGUAGUGCUACAAAUACCGAAGCGUUUCAAUCAACAUCAUCUUCUUCUGAUUUGUUAAAUAUGUUGGAAAGAAGAGAGAUUGAAGAAGCUGAUAUGAGAAUAAUGAUUCACAUAGCUCAGGCAGCACGUCAAAAUCAUAAGAAAAUAUGUAUUUUGUCAUCUGAUACUGACAUUAUAUCACUUUAGAAAAUUUGAAUCUGUUGGAUUAAAGGAACUAUGGAUAAAAGCAGGAACAGGGGCUACAAAACGAAACAUCGCAAUACAUAUUAUGGCAUUGCGUUGUGGCACAGAAACCUGUUUGGUACUUCCUGCACUUUACCACUUGACUAGAGCGGAUUAUACGAGCAAAGUUGGCACAAAACGUGCUGCUUUUCAAGCCGGACCAGAAAAGUAUCUUUUGAACUUUGCACAAGGUUUAACGAAAAGUGAAAUUGAAAGCUCUGUUCGACUUGCAGAAGAGUUUUUGGUAAAAGUAUACCGCAAUUUUAAUGAACUGAGAUAUUGGAUUUACCAUAACCAAAAAAAUGUUUCUUUAGAAAAGUUACCCCCAACAAGUGCAAAUAUUAGAUUUCAUAUUUUAAGAGCUUUUUUUAUUGUUUAUAAUCAAAACUUUUGUUUAAAUACAUUGGAACAUACGACUUUGCUUGAUCCACUUUGUUUUGGAUACAAGAUCAAGAAUGGUUGCCUCUUACCAAAAUCAGUAACUAACCUUUUGCCGGAAAUGUUCGCGGCAAAAUAUUUUUUAGUUAAAAUUUUUUUUAGAUUUUGACGUGCCGCAAGAAUACCUCCAGAACCUGUUUAGAAGCAUUCGAAGACGAAUGGAAGCUUUAAUUAGAGCUAGGUUGUGUUACCGCUACAUGUUACUAGAAAUUCAUUGGCUUAAAUAAAGUUCAUUUUUUUUGUAUACAUGUUUUGUACAAUUUUUUUGAUUUUUGUAUGUUUUGGUAAAUCAAAAUGUUUGUUCUCUGUAGAUUGAACUGAUUUAAAAUAAAUGUUGCAAAAGUCGUAUUAUUUGGUGAUUUAAUUAUCAAUAUCAAUAAAAUUUUAACAGUCAUAAAAUUUAAAAAAUUUAAGAAAUAAUAAGUGAUGCGAUAAUUUUUGUGGAGCGUUUAUUCUUUUUUACAGUAUGGAUCAAAUGCUGCCGAUCCUGAGUACCGCAUAAAACAGUUAUUGGGGUUUAUAUAUGAUUUAAAAUACGUUUCAUGUCUUCAGAA